AUUGAACGCUGGCGGCAGGCCUAACACAUGCAAGUCGAGCGGAUGAAGGGAGCUUGCUCCUGGAUUCAGCGGCGGACGGGUGAGUAAUGCCUAGGAAUCUGCCCGGUAGUGGGGGAUAACGUCCGGAAACGGGCGCUAAUACCGCAUACGUCCUGAGGGAGAAAGUGGGGGAUCUUCGGACCUCACGCUAUCAGAUGAGCCUAGGUCGGAUUAGCUAGUUGGUGGGGUAAAGGCCUACCAGGGCGACGAUCCGUAACUGGUCUGAGAGGAUGAUCAGUCACACUGGAACUGAGACACGGUCCAGACUCCUACGGGAGGCAGCAGUGGGGAAUAUUGGACAAUGGGCGAAAGCCUGAUCCAGCCAUGCCGCGUGUGUGAAGAAGGUCUUCGGAUUGUAAAGCACUUUAAGUUGGGAGGAAGGGCAGUAAGUUAAUACCUUGCUGUUUUGACGUUACCAACAGAAUAAGCACCGGCUAACUUCGUG
rnacentral:rRNA from 1 species